CCUACGGGAGGCAGCAGUGAGGAAUAUUGGUCAAUGGACGCAAGUCUGAACCAGCCAAGUAGCGUGAAGGAAGACGGCUCUAUGGGUUGUAAACUGCUUUUGUACAGGAAUAAAACGAGGCACGUGUGCCUUUUUGCAUGUAUUUUACGAAUAAGGAUCGGCUAACUCCGUGCCAGCAGCCGCGGUAAUACGGAGGAUCCGAGCGUUAUCCGGAUUUAUUGGGUUUAAAGGGAGCGUAGAUGGGUUGAUAAGUCAGUGGUGAAAGUUCGCGGCUCAACCGUAAAAUUGCACGUGAUACUGGCAGUCUAGAGUACAGUUGAGGUAGGCGGAAUUUGUGGUGUAGCGGUGAAAUGCUUAGAUAUCAUGAAGAACACCGAUUGCGAAGGCAGCUUACUAAACUGUGACUGACAUUGAUGCACGAAAGUGUGGGUAGCAAACAGGAUUAGAUACCCUUGUAGUC
rnacentral:rRNA from 1 species